rnacentral:misc_RNA from 1 species
GAUGAAGAACGCAGCAAAAUGCGAUAAGUAAUGUGAAUUGCAGAAUUCAGUGAAUCAUCGAAUCUUUGAACGCACAUUGCGCCCGCCAGCAUUCUGGCGGGCAUGCCUGUUCGAGCGUCAUUUCAACCCUCGAGCCCCCCCGGGGGCCUCGGUGUUGGGGGACGGCACACCAGCCGCCCCCGAAAUGCAGUGGCGACCUCGCCGCAGCCUCCCCUGCGUAGUAGCACACACCUCGCACCGGAGCGCGGAGACGGUCACGCCGUAAAACGCCCAACUUCUUAGAGUUGACCUCGGAUCAGGUAGGAAUACCCGCUGAACUUAAGCAUAUCAAUAAGCGGAGGA